rnacentral:rRNA from 1 species
AUGUCCGCUAGUCCCCCCAAGAAGCCUCCCCAAGGCAUUUUUUCACCGCCGGCGAGCAAAAUUUCUCCCACUCGUCACCCCAAAAGCUCAGUUUUCACCGGAUUUGAGCUAAAAUACAGCCGGCGAGCACAGGCGAAACCCAGCCCCCGGGGGGGCACUGGGGACGCCGGCACUAUUCUUUGCAUGCAAACGGUCCACUGUCAGUGUCCCAACUCCCUCUCUCCUCUCCCUCUCCCUGUCUUUUCUCCAGGCCCACCCACGCGCUCAGCCGCACAAGGCAAACUCCCCCAUCCCCCACCUACCGAGGCAAGCAGGCGCGCAAAACGGGACGGGCGCGGCGCUGCUCGCCGGAGCUGGGGCAUGGGCGAGGGCGGGCGUCCACGGCGAGCGGGCGCAAGAGUCAUGGCGGGCGAGCGCGGGCGUCACGGCGGCCGCGUGAGCUCGCGGGGAGCUCGUCCAUGGCGUUCUGCGGGGAGCUCGUCCAUGGCGGGGAGCUCGUCCGUUGGCCUCGUCCACCGCCCGCUCGAGCGCGCGCUGCAGGCCGUCGUUGUCGUUGUCGACCGCGCGGUGCAUCUCGACGAGCUCGACGGCGUCCUCCUCGGCCGCGCGCCCGCGUGCGAGCAGCGCAUCUCCCUGGCGCGCCAAGCGGCCGCGGCCUCUUCCAGUCGGCCAUGA